AGAUUGCAACACCGAAUGUCUCCAUGAAGGUACAGAGAACACAGAUGCUGAUGAUGUUCAUAACUGCUCCAGCUUUAAUCUGUUUCAUUUUGCCAGCUGAGAAGACCAUGGCAUUCGAAGGUGUUCCCACCGGUAACAUGAAGGCGUGGCAGCAGCUGAUGGUGACGGGAAUCAUCAGAAUGUAUCAUACCAUCUGGGCUACUAUGGGAAGCAGGAUGGACGCGAUUGCUGUGUUUGAAGCUAUUUCCGUAAUAGCAGAGGUCAGGAAACACAUGAUCAACAUAAAGACGAAUGGAGGCAAAGUAGCCAAAGAAGAAAGAUAGUUGGCGAGCAGGACAGACAGUCCAGAGACUUUAGAAGCGUCGCUGAUGGCGUAUCCGCCGCCUAGAAGAAGAAGAACGCUCCAUGGGAAUUUUUUCUGGACGUAAUUCCAUUCUAGCAAAGCUGGAUUGGAGCAGGAUUCUAAAAUGAAGACGGUCACUUCCGAAAUUAGGCUUGGAUGGCAGAAUAAAAGCGAGAACAACAACGGCAAUGGCUACAGUGCCGUCUCCAAUCCGAUUCCUAUCAGACAUUGUUCAUAAGUUAAUCAGCCGGUGGCAUGAACUGAGGAUCCUUCGAGACCCACAACACGAUGAGCAAACUGAACAGGAACAGAAUGGAUUUCUCGUAGUAGCUCAUUGGUCCUAGCUCUGUGUAUUGGUUUCGAAUGGACGUCUUGAUGUCCUCUUUGCUCCUCAUACCACAGUCUUCAUCUCCAGUUGACCUGGAAUUAGUUGACAAAUUAAUUUUUAUUGUUUCGACAGUUAGCCUCUUUGGUGAUUGUAAUACUUGAAGUCAGCCGCGAACAAAACUUGAAGCCAAAUCCAAGCCAGAAGAGUGGUGAUUAAUGCAACGGGUAAACCAAUGGCCAUCCAAGUAGCAAAGCUUAGUCCGGUGUCCGAACCGUACAACCUGGUGCUCCGGAUCCGAUCAGUGUGCCCGUUCCGCCGAUGCUGGCUGCGUAGCUGACGGCUAUGAGAAAUGGAAUUUUGACCUUUCGCUUGAUAUCAUUUGGUCUACUGCUGUCACAUUGAAAUUCAAGAAUCAGAUGUCUUGAGUACUAAUCGGAUAACAUAAUGAAAAGAUUUUACCAUUGUUUUGUUGGCUGCGCCGUCUCCUGAAGGGUGGCAAUAGAGGAAUGUUGAGGCGCCAGACAAUUGGCUCCCAUUUCUACGUCGUUGGAGUCCUAUAAAGAACAGCUCAUCUGCUACCGCAUCCACAAUUGGGAUUAACAUGGCUGUAACCCCAGAAUUGGAGAUCCACAAAGACAGCGACAUACUAACUGCCAUGAACCCCAGCAUCAACCUGUUCAAAAGGUUUCGAAAAUGUAGCAGCAGGUAAAGGCUUUGAAGCGGGUGUUAUACCAUCGAGGAUUGGUGCCAAAAGUAACGAUGACUCUUAGAGCAAUUCUACGAUGGAGAUUUGAUCUUUCGACGCCUAGUGCCAGCACGACGCCUCCAAAGAAGACAAUGUUGGAUUGUUUGAUGUAGAGGGAGCAGACUUCGGACGUACUUAGAAUAUCCAGCAACGGGAAAAGUACAAUUGGCAAGAGACUAGUAACUGCUUCGGGAAGUGCCGACGUAAGCCAAUAAAUUGUCAUAAAAUUUGGGGUAGCUAAAAAUGUUCUUACCGCUCCAUUGAAAAUUAAUGGGAGGAGCAGUAGUGGAGUUAAGACAAUGACCAACGUCUUCAUUUUCGGACAAACAUGAGUCUGGAAGAAUGUUUUGUAGCUAAGCAUUGUAGAUGAUUCCUGCAAACAGAUUAAAAAAGAGGUUGAUUAUCCGGAAAUCCGCACCAACUCAAAACACACCAUCUGCAAGAUAUAACAUCUGGGUCUUUACUCAUCCAUAACCAGCUUGGGAAGAAGAUUAUUGUCAAAGAAAGGGAAAAUAACGCGCACACUGACGACUAAUUUAUUGAUCGCAGUUUGACCUCUUCGCCAUCACCCAUACCGAUAGGUCAUCGAGCACUGUCACCUUACGCGCUCCAAGCCUGAGUUAUCAGGUAACUGGUAUAUACGUUUAAUAUGGUUUGUAGUUACCUUGAACUUUUAGUUUUUGACUGCCGUUGUUGAAGCGAUGAUAGUUUAAAAUGUAAACUGGAAGAAGUUUACUCAACUGGUUGGGGAGACUAUUGAUCCACAGUUGGUUGCUAGCAACGUACUGAAGCAAGGUUUCUACGCUCUCGUAUUUAAGGGUAAUAAAUGUUGCGAUUACGAAAUUGAGCGAAAAAGCCAUUAGCCGAAAUAUAGCUAGGAAAGCCCGGAACUUAGGAGAAGGACGGAUUUAAAGCGGAUCUGAGAGGCUAAAAGGUGACAUAGAUUUAGCUGGGGAAUUAUUUUGUACCCUAGACAUCCUAUCGGCAAACUGGUUUGCUUUAGGAGGAACUGGUGUGUAUAACCUUGAAUUACUGACGCAAGUUCGCAAACAAGUUGUCGGUGAAAAGGAGCAAAAUAGAAAAACAACUGUUUUAUUGACGUCAAGAGAAGGUAUCCGCCCUCGUGAAAAAAACAAGUCCUAAUAACAAAAGGAACGUAAGUUCGAUCUACAAUAGCCUUUGUGUUGCAAAUUUCUAGUCUACAAUGCACUAGAAAGAACCGUAUGGUCGAAAUUAUUAAAAAAAAUAUCGUCUUCGCCAAUAUUUAAAAGAUAAAUAUGUCAAGAAAUUCGAAAGGCUCUUAUAUUUAAUACAGUUCGAGAAAAUUAUUUUCUCUGCUACCCUGUUGUUUGGAAUUAUGAACCUAACUUUCUUAUCUUUGAAAAAUGUAAAAAAUCUCAGCUUUGAUGUAUUUUGAUACCCCCUUUUCCCCUUGCCAGACAUCUCGUAGCAUCAUCAGCCAGCAUAAAA